rnacentral:tRNA from 1 species
AUUAGUAUGUCGGAAAAACGAGUAGUCUUGAUAUGGCUAAAUAUGGGUUUGUGUAAUGUGAAUCUUGCUAGCG